AAACUCAAAGGAAUUGACGGGGGCCCGCACAAGCGGUGGAGCAUGUGGUUCAAUUCGACGCAACGCGCAGAACCUUACCAGCCCUUGACAUGGGACUCGCCGGGAGCAGAGACGCUCCCUUCGGUUCGGCCGGAGUCCGCACAGGUGCUGCAUGGCUGUCGUCAGCUCGUGUCGUGAGAUGUUGGGUUAAGUCCCGCAACGAGCGCAACCCUCGUCUCCAGUUGCCAUCAGGUUAAGCUGGGCACUUUGGAGAAACUGCCGGUGACAAGCCGGAGGAAGGUGGGGAUGACGUCAAGUCCUCAUGGCCCUUACGGGCUGGGCUACACACGUGCUACAAUGGCGGUGACAAUGGGAAGCAAUGGCGCGAGCCGGAGCCGAUCCUUAAAAACCGUCUCAGUUCGGAUUGCACUCUGCAACUCGAGUGCAUGAAGGUGGAAUCGCUAGUAAUCGAGGAUCAGCAUGCCUCGGUGAAUACGUUCCCGGGCCUU
rnacentral:rRNA from 1 species